GACGAACGCUGGCGGCGUGCUUAACACAUGCAAGUCGAACGGAAAGGCCUGCUUUCCCUUGUGGAUUGCGGGUACUCGAGUGGCGAACGGGUGAGUAACACGUGAGUGAUCUGCCCCCAACUAGGGUAUAAGACUGGGAAACUGGGUCUAAUUCCCGAUAGGACUGCAGGGUGGUGCAGGUGGUGGAAAACGAUUUUCUAGUGGUAGGGGAUGAGCUCGCGGACUAUCAGCUUGUUGGGGGGGUAGUGGACUACGAAGGCGGCGACGGGUAGCCGGACUGGGAGGGUCGACGGCCACAUUGGGACUGGGAUACGGCCCCGACUCCUACGGGAGGCAGCAGUUGGGACUAUUGCACAAUGGGCGGAAGCCUGAUGCAGCGACGCCGCGUGGGGGAUGUCGGCCUUCGGGUUGUAAACUCCUUUCGACCGCGAGGAAGCCACCUGGUUGGAAGGGUGGUGACGGUAGUGGUAGAAGAAGCACCGGCUAACUACGUG
rnacentral:rRNA from 1 species